rnacentral:rRNA from 1 species
GAUGAACGCUGGCGGCGUGCCUAACACAUGCAAGUCGAACGAAUCGCCUUACCGUAUUCUUCGGAUGAAGGUCUGGUGACUGAGUGGCGGAUGGGUGAGUAACUCGUGGUUAACCUGCCCUGUACAGGGGGAUAACAGCUGGAACCUGCUUCUAAUACCGCAUAGGCGCACGAGUAGACAUCUCCCUGUGUGAAAAACUCCUAUGUCACAGUAUGGGCCCGCGGCUGAUUAGCUGGUUGGCAGGGUAACGGCCUACCAAGGCAACGAUCAGUAGCCGGUCUGAGAGGAAGAACGGCCACAUUGGAACUGAGACACGGUGCAAACUCCUACGGGAGGCAGCAGUGGGGAAUAUUGCACAAUGGGGGAAACCAUGAUGCAGCAACGCCGCGUGAGUGAAGAAGUAUUUCGGUAUGUAAAGCACUAUCAGCAGGGAAGAUAAUGACGGUACCUGAAGAAGAAGCUCCGGCUAAAUACGUG